CAGACUGGCAGCAGGAAGCGAAUUGCAGUUGCUGCAGUAACUCUGUCGGGGUACAACCCACGUCCCUUGCAAGACCCCGGGGCCUCGGCUGCCGCUGCCGCUGGGGACCCAUAGCCCUGGCUGCAGGCGGGGGAGGAACAUCCCCGCUGUUCCCCGAGAGACUCUCCCAGUGCAGAGACCCCAGCCUGACCCGCUCCCCCCCAUUACUGGGGUCCAGAACCCCGCGUGGAGAGAAGGACUCCCCAUUCCCAAACCUGACCUAGUCGCCCGGCUGGAAGCAGGGGAAGAGCCAUGGGUCCCGGAUCUCCAAGCCUCUGAGGAAAGGAAGAUCCCAAGAGACACCCACACAGCAGGUGACAAGACAAAGAGUGAGAAUGAGGAGGAGAAUCCACAGCAGG
rnacentral:lncRNA from 1 species